CACGUAGUUAGCCGUGGCUUUCUGGUAAGGUACCGUCAUAGUACGAGCAUUCCCUCUCAUACUUGUUCUUCCCUUACAACAGAGCUUUACAACCCGAAGGCCUUCUUCACUCACGCGGCGUUGCUCGGUCAGGGUUUCCCCCAUUGCCGAAAAUUCCCUACUGCUGCCUCCCGUAGGAGUCUGGGCCGUGUCUCAGUCCCAGUGUGGCCGGUCACCCUCUCAGGUCGGCUACGCAUCAUCGUCUUGGUGAGCCGUUACCUCACCAACUAACUAAUGCGCCAUAAGCCCCAUCUCUUUGUGUUGUAUCCCAACUUUAAUUAACUGAAGAUGUCUUCAAUUAACGUAUCCGGUAUUAGCAGACGUUUCCAUCUGUUAUCCCAGGCAUAGAGGCAGGUUGCUUAUGUAUUACUCACCCGUUCGCCACUAAGUUUCGAAUCUAGCAAGCUAGUUUCUAACUUCGUUCGACUUGCAUGUAUUAGGCACGCCGCCAGCGUUCAUCCUGAGCCAGGAU
rnacentral:rRNA from 1 species